rnacentral:lncRNA from 1 species
AAUAAAGCUGGAAUGAAGUCACCUUUCAAAAACAAGGACACUUUUCCCCACCUGCCCCCAUAGGUCCCAGAUAAGAGAGGCUUUACCAACAGAUUCUGGAAACACAGGUAGCACAGUGCAUCUGUUGGUAGAGCCUCUCUUAUCUGUUUGAAGAAGUAACAUGAUUCCCUUUGUAUUUCCCUGUCUGAGUGAAUCAUUUUUGAGCCCAGGAUUCUUUAGAAAUUCUCCCACUUCAAUGAUUUCAAUUUCUAAACAUUUGUCAAGCUAGUACCACGGGUCAUUCUUAUAUAAUUCACAUGAAAAACAUAAAGAUGAAUAACAUGGUUCUCAGACUCAAGUAGUUUUGGAAAACCUGCCACAUGCAA